rnacentral:rRNA from 1 species
ACGAACGCUGGCGGCGUGCUUAACCCAUGCAAGUCGCACGGGAUCCGGGCUUUCGGGUUUGGUGAGAGUGGCGAACGGGUGAGUAACACGUGAGUAACCUGCCCCCUUCUUUGGGAUAACGUCGGGAAAUCGGCGCUAAUACUGGAUAUUCUUGCUGCAUCGCAUGGUGUGGUUUGGAAAGGGUUUCUGGUGGGGGUUGGGCUCGCGGCCUAUCAGCUUGUUGGUGGGGUGAUGGCCUACCAAGGCUUUGACGGGUAGCCGGCCUGAGAGGGUGUCCGGCCACACUGGGACUGAGACACGGCCCAGACUCCUACGGGAGGCCGCAGUGGGGAAUAUUGCACAAUGGGCGCAAGCCUGAUGCAGCGACGCCGCGUGAGGGAUGACGGCCUUCGGGUUGUAAACCCCUUUCAGUAUGGAACAAGGAUCCUUCUUUUGGGGGGUUUGAGGGUACGUGCAGAAGAAGCGCCGGCUAACUACGUG